rnacentral:rRNA from 1 species
AUUGAACGCUGGCGGCAGGCCUAACACAUGCAAGUCGAACGAGUGGCGGACGGGUGAGUAAUGUCUGGGAAACUGCCUGAUGGAGGGGGAUACAUACUGGAAACGGUAGCUAAUACCGCAUACCAUCAGAUGUGCCAAGAUGGGGUUCGCGUGUGUGGGGGGUAACGGCUCACCAAGGCGACGAUCAUGAGCUGGCCUGAGAGGAUGACCAGCCAACAUGGAACUGAGACACGGUCCAGACGCCGACGGGAGACAGCAGUGGGGAAUAUUGCACAAGGGGCGCAAGCAUGAUGCAGCCAUGCCGUGUGUAUGAAGAAGGCUUUCGGGUUGUAAAGUACUUUCAGCGAGGAGGCGUUACCCGCAGAAGAAGCACCGGCUAACUCCGUGCCAGCAGCCGCGGUAAUUC